rnacentral:rRNA from 1 species
CUACAACGGAGAGUUUGAUCCUGGCUCAGGAUGAACGCUGGCGGCGUGCUUAACACAUGCAAGUCGAACGAACCUUCGGGUUAGUGGCGGACGGGUGAGUAACGCGUGAGAAUCUGCCCUCAGGAGGGGGAUAACGGUUGGAAACGACCGCUAAUACCCCAUAUGCCGCGAGGUGAAAUGAAUUUCGCCUGAGGAUGAGCUCGCGUCUGAUUAGCUAGUUGGUGGGGUAAGAGCCUACCAAGGCUUCGAUCAGUAGCUGGUCUGAGAGGAUGAUCAGCCACACUGGGACUGAGACACGGCCCAGACUCCUACGGGAGGCAGCAGUGGGGAAUUUUCCGCAAUGGGCGAAAGCCUGACGGAGCAACGCCGCGUGAGGGAUGAAGGCCUCUGGGCUGUAAACCUCUUUUAUCAAGGAAGAAGAUCUGACGGUACUUGAUGAAUAAGCCACGGCUAAUUCCGUGCCAGCAGCCGCGGUAAUACGGGAGUGGCAAGCGUUAUCCGGAAUUAUUGGGCGUAAAGCGUCCGCAGGCGGUCUUACAAGUCUGUCGUUAAAGCGUGGAGCUUAACUCCAUUUCGGCGAUGGAAACUGUAAGACUAGAGUGUGGUAGGGGCAGAGGGAAUUCCCGGUGUAGCGGUGAAAUGCGUAGAUAUCGGGAAGAACACCAGUGGCGAAGGCGCUCUGCUGGGCCAUAACUGACGCUCAUGGACGAAAGCUAGGGGAGCGAAAGGGAUUAGAUACCCCUGUAGUCCUAGCCGUAAACGAUGAACACUAGGUGUCGGGGGAAUCGACCCCCUCGGUGUCGUAGCCAACGCGUUAAGUGUUCCGCCUGGGGAGUACGCACGCAAGUGUGAAACUCAAAGGAAUUGACGGGGGCCCGCACAAGCGGUGGAGUAUGUGGUUUAAUUCGAUGCAACGCGAAGAACCUUACCAGGGUUUGACAUCCUGCGAAUCCCUUGGAAACUUGGGAGUGCCUUCGGGAGCGCAGUGACAGGUGGUGCAUGGCUGUCGUCAGCUCGUGUCGUGAGAUGUUGGGUUAAGUCCCGCAACGAGCGCAACCCACGUCUUUAGUUGCCAGCAUUCAGUUGGGCACUCUAGAGAGACCGCCGGUGAUAAACCGGAGGAAGGUGUGGAUGACGUCAAGUCAUCAUGCCCCUUACAUCCUGGGCUACACACGUACUACAAUGCUACGGACAAAGGGCAGCAAACUCGCGAGAGCUAGCCAAUCCCAUAAACCGUGGCUCAGUUCAGAUCGUAGGCUGCAACUCGCCUACGUGAAGGAGGAAUCGCUAGUAAUCGCAGGUCAGCAUACUGCGGUGAAUACGUUCCCGGGCCUUGUACACACCGCCCGUCACACCAUGGAAGUUGGCCACGCCCGAAGUCGUUACUCCAACCCUUGUGGAGGAGGAUGCCGAAGGUGGGGCUGAUGACUGGGGUGAAGUCGUAACAAGGUAGCCGUACCGGAAGGUGCGGCUGGAUCACCUCCU